GAUGAACGCUGGCGGCGUGCUUAACACAUGCAAGUCGAACGAAGCACUUUAUUUGAUUUCCUUCGGGAUUGAUUAUUUUGUGACUGAGUGGCGGACGGGUGAGUAACGCGUGGGUAACCUGCCUUGUACAGGGGGAUAACAGUUGGAAACGGCUGCUAAUACCGCAUAAGCGCACAGCAUCGCAUGAUGCAGUGUGAAAAACUCCGGUGGUAUAAGAUGGACCCGCGUUGGAUUAGCUAGUUGGUGAGGUAACGGCCCACCAAGGCGACGAUCCAUAGCCGACCUGAGAGGGUGACCGGCCACAUUGGGACUGAGACACGGCCCAGACUCCUACGGGAGGCAGCAGUGGGGAAUAUUGCACAAUGGGCGAAAGCCUGAUGCAGCGACGCCGCGUGAGCGAAGAAGUAUUUCGGUAUGUAAAGCUCUAUCAGCAGGGAAGA
rnacentral:rRNA from 1 species